GAUGAACGCUAGCGGCAGGCCUAAUACAUGCAAGCCGGACGGGAUUUGGGAGCUUGCUCCUAAUGAGAGUGGCGCACGGGUGCGUAACACGUAUGUAACCUACCUUAAUCAGGGGGAUAGCCUCUCGAAAGAGAGAUUAACACCGCAUCACAUAUUUUUAUGGCAUCGUAGAAAUAUCAAAUGUUUAUAGGAUCAAGAUGGGCAUGCGGAACAUUAGCUAGUUGGUAAGGUAACGGCUUACCAAGGCUACGAUGUUUAGGGGAUCUGAGAGGGUGACCCCCCACACUGGUACUGAGACACAGACCAGACGCCUGCGGGAGGCAGCAGUAAGGAAUAUUGGUCGAUGGGCGCAAGCCUGAACCAGCCAUGCCGCGUGCAGGAAGACGGCCCUAUGGGUUGUAAACUGCUUUUGUACCGGAAUAAACCCUUUUACGUGUAGAAGGCUGAAUGUACGGUAAGAAUAAGGAUCGGCUAACUCCGUGCCAGCCGCCGCAGUAA
rnacentral:rRNA from 1 species